AUGGGGCGUGCAGCGACGAAGAUGCAAGCAGGGGAGGUCCCAGCUGCGCCGGCGUGCUGCCACGAAGAUGCAUGCAGGGGAGGUUCCAGGCCGCCGCCGCGUUCGUUCUCCGGCCGGAUCAUGCCGGAUUCUGGCGGGAAUGGUUCAAGGGCGACCGAAUCCAUGCAUGGGGAGGCGAGUGUGGCGGGACUUGCAGGGUAUGGGGAGGCAACCCAGAGAUUUGGAGAAAGAAAAGGAGCUCUAGGAAAAGAGUUUGGGCAUGGGGUUAUUUUCCCUGGACUCACCAAAAUGAUCGUGAUCCAUAAAAUAUAA
rnacentral:rRNA from 1 species